CCCAUUUUUUUGAGCGCGUAACAUUUGCAUGUACGCGAAAUUACAGUACUUAUGCUGAAGUUAUUUCGCGCCGUGAUAAUCAUGGAACUAUUGAUCUUAUGUAUUUUUAAAUGUCAGUAAAAAUGUUUAAUUAAAACUUGAGGAAACAUUCCAUUCGGGUUUCCGACAGUUCGUUUUGCCACGCACGUUGACUACGUCGAUGGUACGACCCAACUCACAACACGUCUGAACAGCGAUGUUUCUGCGGUGCAGCGAGCCGGUGGGUUUUAUUUUCGAGAGGUAAAGUCACUUAAGCAGAGGAAGGAAGAAGACAAGCUCCUUUGGCGUCCUCCAACCCAAGCCCGGACUCCCACCUCGCGCGUUUUGCCACCCAUCCAAGCCGCCGCUUUUCUGGCGAACGUUUGCCGAGCAGGGCGACUGGAGGCUCCAGUCGCCCAACAACAACGGAGGGCAGAGGAGCGACACAACAACGAGCGGAGUGCCGGGCGGAUAAAAUACAGCAAGAUGGCACAGUCAGGGGCAGAGCUGGUGCAUCUGCCAGUCAUCUCAGUCAGUCAACCCACAGCACCUGGGUCUGUCCCCUGACUCCUGUCACCGAGCCUUCGACACUCUACGUGGCCUCAAAGUGCACCUUGCCUGGCACAGGCGUCGUGGUGACGUCACUGCCACUUAGUUGCGAGUGGCGGGUGUUGUUGUAUUUUUGUUAUGUGUGUGUGCACAUUAACGUGAACUGGGUGGUCACUGUUUACAAGGCAGGUUACAAGCAGGGAACGGCAGGAUGUGACACCCACUCCUUAGCUUUAUAUAUAUCAACUCUUUGAAGUCUGAGUAAUAACAUUGAAAUAUCAUAUCUUUAAAAAAUCUAUGAACUCUCUGAGGCUUUAGUUAUAAACCUUAUGUAUCGCAUAUCUUUGAAAGGCUGCUUCUACUCUCAACAUAUUUUGUGUUUAAGUUACAUUCCUAAAGAACUCGAGUUUUGCAUGCACUUUAAAGAGUCAUGAAAAUGUUUGCGAUGAAUGUAUUAAAUUUCUGUUUUAACAAUUAAGCUUUAAUCUAAAUUAAAAAAAUAACUUCAUGACCGAUGAGUUCACUUCACUUAACCGACUAAACGAUGACAGCAGGUUUAUCGCUUCCAGCAUUAAAGCAUUUAUUGCACGUGUACGCGA